rnacentral:rRNA from 1 species
UUUUACGAGGUGCUGCAUGGUUGUCGUCAGCUCGUGCCGUGAGGUGUCGGGUUAAGUCCAUAACGAGCGCAACCCUACCUUAGUUGCCAUCAGGUAAUGCUGGGGACUCUAAAGGAACUGCCUACGCAAGUAGUGAGGAAGGCGGGGAUGACGUCAAAUCAGCACGGCCCUUACGUCCAGGGCUACACACGUGCUACAAUGGCCGAUACAGAGGGCAGCUACCUGGUGACAGGAUGCAAAUCUCCAAAGUCGGUCUCAGUUCGGAUCGGAGUCUGCAACCCGACUCCGUGAAGUUGGAUUCGCUAGUAAUCGCGCAUCAGCCAUGGCGCGGUGAAUACGUUCCCGGGCCUU